rnacentral:rRNA from 1 species
CAAUAGCGUAUAUUAAAGUUGUUGCAGUUAAAAAGCUCGUAGUUGGAUUUCGGGGCAGCCUGGCUGGUCCGCCGCAAGGCGAGUACUGGUCAGCCGCCCUUCCUCUCGAAAGCCCCGACUGCUCUUUAUUGCAGUGGUCGGGUAGUUCGGGACGUUUACUUUGAAAAAAUUAGAGUGUUCAAGGCAGGCCUACGCCUGAAUACAUUAGCAUGGAAUAAUGGAAGAGGACCUCGGUCCUAUUUUGUUGGUUUCCAGGACCGAAGUAAGGAUUAAGAGGGACAGUUGGGGGCAUUCGUAUUUAAUUGUCAGAGGUGAAAUUCUCGGAUUUAUGAAAGACGAACAACUGCGAAAGCAUUUGCCAAGGAUGUUUUCAUUAA